rnacentral:lncRNA from 1 species
UAAUUUUUAACUGACAUAAUUCCUUAAGUGACAAUUUUUAAAAGCCAAGCCUUCAUCCUGCGUUUGUGUCUUCUCUCCAAACCCAAAUCUAGUGCCCUAACUUUCCUUCGCUCGCUUCUAUUUCUCUCCAAACCCUCUCCCCAAAUUCGCGAUUUAGACAACUCACAACCAAAUCGGAAGUCCCGGAGCUUCUGUCAGAUUCGCGAAGUCCCGGAGCCUUCAUUAGCUUCACUAAGGAUCUCUCUUCUCAACUGAAGCUUCUGUCAGAUUCACGGAUUUGGGUUUUUUUCAACUGCCAGAUUCGCGUCUUCCUCCUGCGUCUCUGUCAACUGAAGCUUCUCAACAGAUGAUUCAUUUUCUGUUUUUUGCGGGUUAAUUGCAUAGAUUUGGAACUGAAAUGAAAUUUUUACCGAGACAUGUAACUAAAAUAAGUGCUGCAUAAUUUCCAACAACUAAUAGCAGAUAAUCGUUUAGUGUGUUUUUUCUUGGAUAAUGAAUCAUCUGUUGUACACAAUGUAUCUUAUGGUGGAUGUGAAGGUUGCAAAACUCAUGAUUAGUGGGCAUUCUUUGUCAGAGUCAACUGAAUUUUCUUGCAAAUCCAAUUCAACCACACAAGAACUCGUAGGAUUAUCAAUUGAAGCACUCUCAAUUACUUGAGCUAUCUGUUUUGUCAAUGUAACGCAUAAGUUAGGGCAGAGGAUUUGGGUUUGAACGAGUUACAUUGACUUAAACGAGUUACAUUGAGCUAUCUACAUUGACUUACUAAGAUUUGGGUUUUUUUUCAAAAGACGCUGAAGGAGGAAGGCUUGACUAUUAAAAAUUAUGUCACUUAAGAAAUUAUGUCAGCUAAAAAUUAUGCUCAUGAAAUUUUUUGUAUAUAUAUAUAUAUAUAUAUAUAUAUAUAUAUAUAGAGUGGUUAGCAUGAAGUGAACUUCAUGGUAAGUUCACUUAAUGCCCAAUAUAGUGCUGACACUCAGGCGGAGAGAUCACCCUCUUGUCUGUGUGUCAACACUGUAUUGGGUAUGAAGUAAACUUACCAUGAAGUUCACUUCAUGCUAACCGGAUCCAUAUAUAUAUAUAUAUAUAUAUGUGUGUGUGUGUGUGAGAGAGAGAGAGAGAGAGAGAGAGAGAGAGAGAAUAAUUUAUAGUAUGUAUUUGAUAUGAAUUUUUAAAAGGCAUACACUUUUUAUACCAUUAAAAAAAAG